UAUACAUGCAUGCACAAGAGUAUACACA
rnacentral:misc_RNA from 1 species